UACGGAGGGAGCUAGCGUUGUUCGGAUAUACUGGGCGUAAAGCGCACGUAGGCGGCGCCGUAAGUCAGGGGUGAAAUCCCGGAGCUCAACUCCGGAACUGCCCUUGAAACUGCAGUGCUAGAAUUCUGGAGAGGCGAGUGGAAUUCCAGGUGUAGCGGUGAAAUGCGUAGAUAUCUGGAGGAACACCGGUGGCGAAGGCGGCAUCCUGGACCGGUAUUGACGCUGAGGCGCGAAAGCCAGGGGAGCAAACGGG
rnacentral:rRNA from 1 species